CUGUAAGGCACUUCUACUAAGAACGCACACGUCCUGUGACGGGCGUUGAAGUCACCACAUCCUGUGGA
rnacentral:sRNA from 1 species